AUUCGCCCUUAUUCCGGUUGAUCCUGCCGGAGGCCAUUGCUAUUGGGAUCCGAUUUAGCCAUGCUAGUUGUACGAGUUCAGACUCGUAGCGAAUAGCUCAGUAACACGUGGCCAAACUACCCUUCGGACCACAAUACCCUCGGGAAACUGAGGCUAAUAGUGGAUCACACACUCACACUGGAAUGUCGAGUGUGUCAAACGCUCCGGCGCCGAAGGAUGUGGCUGCGGCCGAUUAGGUAGACGGUGGGGUAACGGCCCACCGUGCCAAUAAUCGGUACGGGUCAUGAGAGUGAGAACCCGGAGACGGAAUCUGAGACAAGAUUCCGGGC
rnacentral:rRNA from 1 species